GCUUACAGCCAUACCACCCUGAAUACGCCCGAUCUCGUCCGAGCUCAGAAACUAAGCGGGGUCGGGCCUGGUUAGUACUUUGAUGAGAGACUGCCUGGCAAUACCAGGUGCUGCGAGCA
ensembl:rRNA 5S_rRNA 5S ribosomal RNA